UAGACCGUGAUACAGAGGGUGAGGAACAUGAUUGGGUGGUGAAACAUACUACAAGAUCAAAUAAAAUUGUUUGGGGUCAACACCAAUUCAAGAUAAGGGCUGAUGUGGAUGCCGGAAAGUAUUCAUGUGAGUGCAAGCAUUGGGAGCAUACAGGUCUAUUUUGUGUUCAUCUUGUACGCGCUUUCAUGCAUCUACAAAUUGAAAGGAUCCCAAGUGAGUAUAUUUUGCAACGAUACACAUACUCCGCGCAUCAAGAUGUGGCUUUUUCAAGAGACGAUAGGAAUUUGAAAGGAAAAGAUGGAGAAACUAGAUCAUAUAGACAGAAGAUGUUGCUUAAAAAAGCAAUGAAAGUAGUACACCAUGCGAGUCUGUCUAAAGCUGGGAAUGAUAAAGCCCUAGAGAUGAUGGACGAAUUAUUAGGGUUAUUGAUGCGUGUGGAGCCUGAUAUAGGUACUGGUGAGAGUUGUGGCACAAGUGUUUGCGAUGACAUCCAGGUCGAAGCGUAUGAAACAGAAGAAAUGGCUAUAGACAACUUACGCAAAUUAGAUGAUGGGAACGAGGAAAUUUUAAUGGGCUCUAAUACAAAUGAAUGCAAUACUAAGGAUGAUCAAUGUAAUAUGCAGAUAUUAACAUUGGAACAUAACACUGACAUUCGGCUGGUUGAGAGUAGUUCUAUGGAUGUGGAAGCUAGAAAGAAACUGGAAUUUCAUAUGGAAGGUGUAAACUUAACAAGACCAGAUAAGGCCAAGCCUAAGGGAAGAACAAUCAAAAGUAGUGAGCAACAAGUUUUAAAAUUGGGUGCGAAAGGAGCUAAGAAGAUGAGCAGGAAAUGCCAUAAAUGUGGCAUAGCUGAUGGUCACAACAGCCGUACGUGUUUAACUGUCGAGGAUAAUAGGGUUCGAUUGGCUAACCUAUCUGGACGUAAGCGAGGACGGCCUCCAGGUUCAAGGAACAAACUCAUAGCUGCAGCCCCGCAAUGGAAUGAGACAUCAACGUCGAAAAAACGAACGGUGGAUGUCGGAGAUGAUGAUUCAUCUGGUAGAGAGUAGAAGACC